rnacentral:lncRNA from 1 species
CAGAUAUUCAGAUAUCUGCUACUUAAGAAUGGACUGAAUGAUGAGCGUGUGUAUGUGUUACGUGUGUGUUUGCUCAAGGGCAUGCCUGAGAGAGGGCUUUGAAUAAAGUGAAGCUUCUGUUAAGAGUUUUAUCAGCUGGACAUAGUGGCUCAUCUCUGUAAUCCCAGCAUUUUUGGAGGCCGAGGUGGGUGGAUCACUUGAGGUCAGGAGUUUGAGACCAGCCUGACCAAUAUGGUGAAACCCCAUUCCUACUAAAAAUGCAAAAAUUAGCCAGGUGUG